rnacentral:misc_RNA from 1 species
GAUGAAGAACGUAGCGAAAUGCGAUAAGUAAUGUGAAUUGCAGAAUUCAGUGAAUCAUCGAAUCUUUGAACGCACCUUGCGCCACUUGGCCAUUCCGAAGGGCAUGCCUGUUUGAGUAUCAUGAACACCUCAACUCUUCAUGGUUUUCCAUGAUGAGCUUGGACUUUGGGGGUCUUGCUGGCCUGUGGGUCGGCUCCUCUCAAAUGAAUCAGCUUGCCGGUUUUUGGUGGGCAUCACAGGUGUGAUAACUAUCUACGCUUGUGGUUUUCCACCAGGGUAACCUUCAGCAGUGGAGGUUCACUGGAGCUUACAAAUGUCUCUCCUCUGUGAGGACAGCCCUUUGAAUGUUUGAUCUCAAAUCAGGUAGGACUACCCGCUGAACUUAAGCAUAUCAAUAAGCGGAGGA